AGGAGCCUCGGCACAUUAACAGACGCAAGUUGAUGUUCGGUGUCACAUUACAGAGACCAUCACUUAGAUCACCGGUCCUGGACAGUCCGGAGAUUCACCCUCACUGACGGUGAUGAUCAGCGUAGUGUCCAGGCUCAUGUCAACUAUAUUCAACUGCCGUGCGAUCUGGGCAACACUCCUGCACCCCUAGAGGAGAGAUGACCUUCCCUCACCUCUCUGGUUUGAAGACAUCCCCCAAUAUUCAUCUAAAUCCCAUCUCUUUAACAAAAUGAAUGUACACCUUCUACCUUCCUCUGCA